rnacentral:rRNA from 1 species
GACUACUGGGGUAUCUAAUCCUGUUCGAUCCCCACGCUUUCGUGCCUCAGCGUCAAUAAAAGACCAGAUAGCUGCCUUCGCAAUUGGUGUUCUAUGGCAUAUCUAUGCAUUUCACCGCUACAUGCCACAUUCCGCCAUCCUCAUCCUUAUUCAAGAUAACCAGUAUCCAAGGCAAUUUUAUCGUUAAGCGACAAACUUUCACCUUAGACUUAAUCAUCCGCCUACGCACCCUUUAAACCCAGUAAUUCCGGAUAACGCUCGCACCCUCCGUAUUACCGCGGCUGCUGGCACGGAGUUAGCCGGUGCUUAUUCUGAUGGUACCGUCAGUACCAGAUACAUCUAGCAUUUUCUUCCCAUCUAAAAGAAGUUUACAACCCAUAGGGCCUUCAUCCUCCACGCGGAAUGGCUGGUUCACCCUUGCGGGCAUUGACCAAUAUUCCUUACUGCAGCCCCCCGUAGG